UUAGUAUUUCCUCCGUUCAACAAAAAAUGUCUCAAGUUUGUCAAAAAAUUGUAUGCAUCUAUACACUAAGUCAUGUCUAGAUACAUUCAAAUUUUGACAAACUUGAGACAUCUUUUGUUGAACGGAGGAAAUACUAA
rfam:Brachypodium distachyon strain Bd21 chromosome 5, whole genome shotgun sequence.